rfam:Brassica napus, WGS project CCCW01000000 data, contig: 15492
AUGUCUUUUUCGGCUUUUUAGAUAAGAUUAAAUGUAGUAUAUAUUUUUAUUAAUAUAAUAUUUUAUACGCGGAUUAUCGGUCCAUAUGAUAUUAACUUUAUUCUUAAAGAAAAAAACCCAUUAAAAUAGUUUGCUAUUUGGGGUUUUAUAAGUUGCUCAUGCACAUAAGACCAGCCCCUAUCCA